UUCCUUAUCGUGCGGCGAAAUUGUAUCUAUAGAAAAGCAAGAGCCCCCCCCCUCAAUAUUCCCACGCCCAUAGAGGAGCUAAGGAUGGGGCAAUAGGGGGGGGAAAGCAUCUCAAGGAAUGACAUUGUCUAGAAGAUCAACCAAGAGAUGCUUCUCCGCUAAUCUUAAACUUUCUGAACUGUGAUCUGCUGGAUUGUAACUAGAUUUAUAGUUUCAAUGCAUUCCUGUGCUUCUGUAUUUAGAAGUAAAUCACAUUGAAUCAUAUGAGCCUUAUUUCAGGUAAGUAUGAUUAUUGCAGUUUAUCCAUUUAACUCAGUGGGAAAUAUUUCUAAAUAAACAUAUAUGAACUGCAUGUGAUUAAUAGAUAACACUUGGAAAUACAACAACUGAGGAUGUAAAAUCUAGAAAUUAGAAAGACUGAAAGAAAAAAUUCUGUUUUGCUUUUUUUAUAGUCAUUAGCUCCAUUUUUUGCAGUUCUCCCAAGUGAGCAUGGAAUAAACCCUCUCCCUAACUUCUGGACUGUUGUCA